rnacentral:rRNA from 1 species
AGAGUUUGAUUAUGGCUCAGGAUGAACGCUAGCUACAGGCUUAACACAUGCAAGUCGAGGGGCAGCAUUGGAGUAGCAAUACUCAGAUGGCGACCGGCGCACGGGUGAGUAACACGUAUCCAACCUGCCGCUUACUCGGGGAUAGCCUUUCGAAAGAAAGAUUAAUACCCGAUGGUAUAAAGAGUUCGCAUGUUCUCUUUAUUAAAGAAUUUCGGUAAGCGAUGGGGAUGCGUUCCAUUAGAUAGUUGGCGGGGUAACGGCCCACCAAGUCUACGAUGGAUAGGGGUUCUGAGAGGAAGGUCCCCCACAUUGGAACUGAGACACGGUCCAAACUCCUACGGGAGGCAGCAGUGAGGAAUAUUGGUCAAUGGACGAGAGUCUGAACCAGCCAAAAGUAGCGUGAAGGAUGACUGCCCUAUGGGUUGUAAACUUCUUUUAUAAGGGAAUAAAGUGAGGGACGUGUCCCUUUUUGUAUGUACCUUAUGAAUAAGGAUCGGCUAACUCCGUGCCAGCCGCGGC